UGUUUGUGCUCCUGUGUGUGCUGGAUGCAUGUGGGUAUUGAAGAAUAGAACACACACACACACACACACACACACACACACACACACACACAC
rnacentral:miRNA from 14 species